rfam:Triticum aestivum genome assembly, contig: Triticum_aestivum_CS42_TGACv1_scaffold_288439_4AL
CACCUACUCCCUCCGUCUCAAAAUUCUUGUCUUACAUUUGUCUAAAUACAGAUGUAUCAAGUCAGGUUUUAAUAUUAGAUACAUCCGUAUCUAGGCAAAUCUAAGACAAGAAUUUUGGGAGGGAGGGAGUACAAA